AAUGUUCAGAAACCAGAAGGUGAGGUUUAAUGCCAAAGUCCAUAACAGGCAUCCAUGUGGGUACAUAUCUCACCACCUGAUCAAAUAUGCCAUUGAAAGAGUUGUCUAUACCACAGACAGGCUGUUUCUGACUGCCCCAUGUUCGGGGGUACAGCUACCUCAACCUCUGGCCUGCAGUCUGUUCGAAAUACUCAAGGAUGUUAGAGGAAAAUGCACAACGGCCUGGAGGCGCUUAGGGGCAGGCCGCAGACAUUUAAUGACAUUUGGGCGCAAUGUGUUGGAUGAAUUUAAUUCUGAGAAGAAGUCACCUGGUGGCAUAUCCAGAGAAGUUGAGGCAUUUAUAAAGAUAUGCUUUCCACAAAUGGACUUAAAUAAAAUUUUAAUUCCAAUUUAUCAGCACGCCAUCAACAUCCCACCAGACUGUGUACCCAGCUGUACUAUUGGAGAUGGAAACAGAAAACGAGCCCCCCACGGUUCGCUAUACAGUAAAGACAUAUCCUCACAAAAGUUCUGCAUCCCAGACCCCCUGUUUGCUUCUCCCACAGAACCAGGGUUGGGGGAGUUGCAUAGGGGUAAUAUGGCACAUUUGCUGCAGAACCCAGAAGAAAUCAUUAACCUGGACCCUCUACACAAUACCACUGAACCCUGUUUGUAUCAAAUGUUUUCAGAGGCGGUGACAAACCCCUCUAAAAAAAGAUGGCUUUCUUCUUUCAACAUGGUCUUUUCAGGACUGUCUCCGAGAGCUCGGCCAGAGACCACUUAUGAACCAUUGGGGCCAUUUUCACCCAUUAGCCCUGGCCCUUCUUCCGCCACAGAAGAGUUCCAGUUUGAAUUUAGCCCUUCUCCUCAAACCUCCCCAGAAACAAGCGAGCAGAGCUACAUACCUACUCCCAACUCAGCUAUGGGCGGAUCCUUUGAGUACACAGGCGCCGUUCAACCACAACUAAUUCCAGAUAAUCACACCUGUUCCGCAAAGAGAUUAAGGGAGAGCGAUGAGGAGGUAAAUUAUUCUUCAGACGGUAGUCCAAACAAGAAACCCACAGCUCGCACUUCUGGGCACGAACAGGCUUAUGGUUUUCUGGCCGAGUUGCUCUCUAGCCACAGGGAUACGCCUGUCCAGCAUAUUGUGCAAUCUGGCUCAACGCCCGCCCCGCCAAUUGUUGAGCCUCAGGGACAAGAUUUUGUUGGAAAACAGGAUGAGACAUGUUCCAACGUGUUCCCAGAACAAAUUACUCAGGAAGCGUGUCCCGGAUCAUCUGAGGACGCGUUCAUCGAUGAUGCUAUAAAGGAAAUAUUUGCAUCGCUGGACUCUAUGGCAAACCAGGACACUGCUGACAGUGACACAUGUUCCAUACUUGACCCCCAAUCACCCACUCCCCCACCCUCCGUUCCCCCAAUAACUACACUCUCGUUGUAUGACAUUUAUGCCAGCAUACUUAGUCCACUCGACCCAAACAGCCUGGAGUCAUAAACGGUGCCAAAUACAAGACAUUUCUAAAUCCUUAAGUAUAAUGUUUAUAUUUAACUGAAUAAAAGAAGUGACGCUAUAAAACCCUCAA
rnacentral:tmRNA from 1 species